ACGGGUGAGUAACACGUGGAUAACCUACCUAUAAGACUGGGAUAACUUCGGGAAACCGGAGCUAAUACCGGAUAAUAUAUUGAACCGCAUUGUUCAAUAGUGAAAGACGGUUUUGCUGUCACUUAUAGAUGGAUCCGCGCUGCAUUAGCUAGUUGGUAAGGUAACGGCUUACCAAGGCAACGAUGCGUAGCCGACCUGAGAGGGUGAUCGGCCACACUGGAACUGAGACACGGUCCAGACUCCUACGGGAGGCAGCAGAC
rnacentral:rRNA from 1 species